UCCCUGGUGGUCCAGUGGUUAAAACUCUGCACUCCCAAUGUAGGUGGCGCAAGUUUGAUUCCUGGUCAGGGAA
rfam:Ovis aries breed Texel chromosome 9, whole genome shotgun sequence.